rnacentral:lncRNA from 1 species
CGUUGCCAGGUCCCUCUUGUACAAGUGUGACUUGGUACGCCUCCCUUAAACAAGAGAUGCAGUUGGAGGUGGACGGGAUCCAGUAUCCACGUCUAGGGAAGGACGGUGACUUUGAAGCUGGACCCGCUGUCCUGCCGGAUCCCAGGAACUUUCCCCUGCCAUCUGUACCCAGAAGACAUUGCUUCGCUACACAGCAGUUGUCGGAGGCCACAGGAAGCCGAGGACCCGGGCGGUGGCCCCAGAUGGCUGACAGCUUCAGGAGGCAGGCUGCAGGAUGGCAGAGGAUCUUUACAUCUAAAGGGCCACUCUCCAUGGCCCUGUCCUUGGCCAGCUCCUUGUGACACUGCAACUCCGGGCAAUGUUUCCUGACCCUGCAGCCAUUUUGGUGGAAUUGUCAGCAGAGCCUGAGGGAGCAGCCCUUGCUGAACCUCACAAGCUGUUGCUGCCGUGCUACACCAGUGCAGCCGAAGGGUGUGGGCUGAACCUUGUGGGACUAUGUGCCCAGGGAACUCCUCCUGCCUUUAAGGCAUUUCUGUCAGGUGUCUGUUCGCAGUAACGGAUGUAACCACCAUCGGGCACUGUGUCCUCUGUGCCCGUGGGUAAGAAGGUAUCUGCCAGCAGCACUUGAUAUCUGGCAAGGGACAUACAUACCUGUGUCAGCUGUCCAGGGUUGUGACAAAGGUACAAGGCUCUGCCAAUGCUGAAGAUGAAGAGGAUGCUGAAGAUGAAGAGGAUGCUGAAGAUGAAGAGCGGACUGCAGAAAUGGCUGCAGACUGCUAAGCUGUAGUUCCUCGCUCUCCUGUUCAUCUGUGCACGUAGGCUGUCAGCGACAGGGGACUGGUGGCAGCUGAAGAAACACGUUCUGACAAAUGUUCAUCGGGGAGAGCAAAGGAAAAUGGUCAGGGCGGUGGAGAGAAGCGGCCAUGUGGAGCGGGAAGCAAGGACGUGAACUGGUGAAGCGGCUGCCCUUCCUCAAGCUCUGCCGUCAGCUUGAUACCUGAGAAAAUAAAUGGAGGAAAUCUUAUUUUUUGAGCUCAAGACAAGAUCUACAAAUAUUUGUCGACCACGUCUGAGCUAUUCCUGCAUGUGCAUGGCUCCUUCACUGUGAAAAGCAGGGACUGCAGGAGUCUGGAUCCAGGCAGCACAGCCAUUUAGCCAGGGAAUGUUAAUGUGAAAGCCUUUGCCCCGGGCUCUGGUCAGCAGCUCCAGCUCCAUGCCUGUCUCACACCAGGAUGAUCACGGACAGACGAACUCUCUGAAACCACAAGCAAACUCCCCAAUUCAAUGCUCACUUUUGUAAGAGUUGCCUUGUUCAUGGUGUCUCCUCACCACAAUAGAACGGCAACUAAGACAAUGUUUAUCACAGCAAAGGACUUAACAGUACCUGAUGUUGAUCUACAAAGUUAGAGCAAUGAAGACUCUGGAAUCUGUUUGUCUGUCUCGAUGUCAUUGUCAAUCACAGGGUCUUGAUUCCAUUCAAAGACUGAGCGCACUCUUCACAAAGAUAGCAACUACUCACAGCCAACCUAAGUGCCUAUCAUGAAUGAAGAAAUGGAGAAAAUGAUACACAAUGAUACUCUAUGCCUAGUCAUAAAAAAUGAAAUCUUAUUUGUGACAACAUGGAUGAGCCUGGAGGACACAGUAUUACAUAAUCA